rnacentral:rRNA from 1 species
CCUACGGGAGGCAGCAGUAGGGAAUCUUCGGCAAUGGACGAAAGUCUGACCGAGCAACGCCGCGUGAGUGAAGAAGGUUUUCGGAUCGUAAAACUCUGUUGUUAGAGAAGAACAAGGACGUUAGUAACUGAACGUCCCCUGACGGUAUCUAACCAGAAAGCCACGGCUAACUACGUGCCAGCAGCCGCGGUAAUACGUAGGUGGCAAGCGUUGUCCGGAUUUAUUGGGCGUAAAGCGAGCGCAGGCGGUUUCUUAAGUCUGAUGUGAAAGCCCCCGGCUCAACCGGGGAGGGUCAUUGGAAACUGGGAGACUUGAGUGCAGAAGAGGAGAGUGGAAUUCCAUGUGUAGCGGUGAAAUGCGUAGAUAUAUGGAGGAACACCAGUGGCGAAGGCGGCUCUCUGGUCUGUAACUGACGCUGAGGCUCGAAAGCGUGGGGAGCAAACAGGAUUAGAUACCCUGGUAGUCCACGACGUAACGAUAGAGUGCUAGUAGUUGGUAGGGUUCCGGUCCGUUCUAGUGUCGUGCAGACAACGACGAUUAAGACGACCUCCGCCGUCGGGGAGGGUACGGUAACCGGCCGAAGGUUAGGUUAAACGUACGAAAGGUUAAAGUUAGUUACGGCGUUGAGGACGUUGCCGACGGACGACGACGAGGGAGGAGG